GCUAACUUUGCCGCUAGAAUUACAAGAAAAGUAGAUAAAACAAUCCAAAGCUUUAAUCUGCCCUGGCCCAUUUAAUAUUUUGAAAAUAGAAGUUUUGACCCGCCCUGCCCUGCCCCACCCUGUUUAGCAUUUGUCCUGCCCUGCCCCAUUUAAUAUUUGCCCUGCGCUGCCCCGCCCUGCCCUGUCCUGUCCCAUUGUGGCCCUAGCAACGAAAGAGAGGAUUGUGACUGCAUAUUGAGGGAAGCGGAGAAGAAGAUGUGCAUCUAAAUUUUUGAAGGGAAAUUAGGAUUUGAGAUAUGUGGUAAAAUUGUAGAAGGGAAAUAGGAUCAAAGGUUCGCGUUGAGAUGCACAAAGAUAAUAAAGGGGAACGGGAAAAUGCAGUAACGAACAAAGUUUGCAUUGAUUGGAAACACAUGUAAGCCAGUAAUAACCAAAGAGGAACAACAUCAAUACUCAAUGACGAAUUCGGAAACAGCCUCCCUACCGACAAAGGUAAGGAUAAGGUCUGUGUACAUCCUAUAUUCCCCAGACCAAACUUGUGGGACUAAACUGGGUUUGUUGUUGUUGUUGAAUUUUCGCAUGAAUUUCUUCUGAAUAGAUCUUCCAAAACACUAUUGAAUAUAGCUAUUUUACUUGCAUAUUGUCACGGUCUUCGCUGUCUUGCAGGACUCUAGUUAUUAAAGACAUCAGAGGUAUGAUUUCAAGAAUACGUGAACUUGGCAAGUUUGUGCCUUUCAAUAGACAAGUUUUAAUUUAACAAGUGAUGUAUUUGAUGUAUGUGAUUACAUAAGUAGACUUUAUAUUUUAAAACAAACUUUGUUUAUUAGUUUACAGAAGAAAUUGUUGAAAUUAUUUCUUCUUUAGGAGGAUAAAUCAGACGAGCCACUAGUACAUUAGGAGUACUAAAAUUGUGGACUCCGUGCAAAGCAUAGCAAAACAAUUAGUAAAAUAAAACAGAUAAAGGGAGCUCAGGGAAUUUGCUAGUGCACCGAGUCAGCUAUUUCAAUUUCUGGUUUGUACUUCAAUUUCUGUCUCAACUGGACGUAGGUCUACUCUAGUUUCUUUGUAGCCACAUUCUCGCAUGCGUCACCGUCAGCUUUCGCAGUUCCCGGCCUGUCUGUACUAAAAUUUCUGUAGCAACCGAAUGUAUCUCUAUACGGGUUUGUUUAUAGACGUAUCUCUUGCCUUCCCUGUUUGCAUUAUUCUCACUAUAAAAUAUUCAAAACAAGUAUGUGGGAAUAUAAUAGGAACUCAUCAAAUGGUUUUUGUAUAUACAGCUGAGUGAAAUAUAAACGCGAGAAAUUGAUGGCCAGAGAGAUGCAUCAGAAACAGGCUAAGUCUACCUUAAGCUUUUCUCUAAUGUCAUUAGUUCCUAUGCAUAUUUUCACUCACCUUGACUAUUUUACGUGGUAUGUGUAUCCUCCCACUGAUACUUAUCAGGUAUAAACUAACUAUAAAAAAGGACAGCCCGGUGCACUAAGCUCCCGCUAUGCGCGGGGUCCGGGGAAGAGCCGGACCACAAGGGUCUAUUGUACGCAACCUUACCUUGCAUUUCUACAAGAGACUGUUUCUACGGCUUGAACCCGUAACCUCCAGGUCACACGGCAGCAACUUUACCAGCUAACUAUGUGAACCAAAAUUUACUAGAUAGUAAGCAAUCACCUGGUUAUUUUGUUCUAUUGGAUUUGAUCAGUGUCCAUUGAUCUAUACUCUUUAAAUGACCGAAGACAAGCUUUGGGAGCUUGAGUCUACGUUGAUUGGAUUAGGUAGCAAAGUUUAUUGCUUUCUGCUCAUUAAAUUUGUACGGUGAGACUAUCAUGGUUAAGAUCAUGUAUUUUCUUGCCACAUAGAAGAUUAGUUGCAGCAUUGAUUUGUGAAUCCCAACGAAUGAUUUCGAAUGUUGAAGCUAAUUAUCCGAUCUUGUUUGACAUGCAUUAUAGGCAAAAGAGAUAGCCAGAGAAGAUCAAAGUUUUGCCAAAGUUUUUCUACACCAACUAUAAGCUGGCUGGGAGAUCGGAUGAUUUGUAUGAAUCUUAGUACUGUUAAUGUUAAAAUUUUAAUGAUGACAAGUUUAUUAUGUAGGUACAAUACUCAAAGAUGCCAGUGGGCCCGUUGGAUGUACACAGCCCACAAAGUUGUGUAAACGCUCAGCCUAGUCGCUUACGUGAAGGAAAUCAAGAAGAGUUAUGCUAACACUCACUUAUGGAAGCAACACCUAAUUAUUAAGAAGAUAUCAAUCAAGUAUCAUUAAGAGAUCUUUCCUUAUAUCAAGGGAAGGUAAAUCGAGUUAACAAGGAUUCGAUUACUCAGCAAUCAAUCAAGAGACUUUCAACACCAAUCAAAUCUGCUCCAAUAAGCAAACAAGUAGCAAGUUCAGCGGUGCCAAAGCCGUUAGGGUUUGACCUCGAGGAAAUCAAGGAAGGAAGAUCCAUCGGCAUUAAAAGCUCUAACCUUAUUCUUGGAAAAUAGGAUUCUUAUUAUUCCUUUUUCUAAGGAUCAAAUCUCUUGGGUUGCCAACUAUGCUUCGAGCCAAAACAAACCAAGCUCAUGCUAUUUAAAGGAUCGCACCAAGAUGAAGCAAAAUAUAUUUUCGUCUCAAUUUUCAAGUUUUCUACUCUACUUUUCAUAAGCAUUGUAAUACUGAGUGAUUUACCGUGUAAACAAAAAAAGAUGAGAGAUAUUGCAUAGUUGGCGAGGCAUUGUAUCAAAAAAUUAUGAGAAUUUGAGUGUAGACGUAGGAGCUCCAUUCAAACAACCAUUGUACCAAACCUUCUUACAAAAAAAAAAAGGCAGAGAACACCCUUGCAACCCAU